UACGGGGGGGGCAAGCGUUGUUCGGAAUUACUGGGCGUAAAGGGCUCGUAGGCGGCCAACUAAGUCGGACGUGAAAUCCCUCGGCUUAACCGGGGAACUGCGUCUGAUACUGGAUGGCUUGAGUUCGGGAGAGGGAUGCGGAAUUCCAGGUGUAGCGGUGAAAUGCGUAGAUAUCUGGAGGAACACCGGUGGCGAAGGCGGCAUCCUGGACCGGCAUUGACGCUGAGGAGCGAAAGCUAGGGGAGCAAACGGG
rnacentral:rRNA from 1 species